GCCGAGAUCAUUCUGUAUGGAGGACACACGGGUCCUGGGAUGCAGGAUAAACACAGCUCUCAGGGGCCAAGGUCCAGGAUUCCCGUCCUGACUCGCCACUAGCCUGGCAUGUGACCCUGGACAAAUCACUUCCCUUCUCUGGAUCUCAAUGUCCUUGUCUGUCAGGCGGGAAGCCCCUUGAUCCUGCUUGCUCCCAGGAGGGGGAGGUGGCCCGUGGAGUGGGAAGAGAGUUGACUUGGGAGCAAAGAUACCCAGGGUCUAACCCUAGUGCUUCUUCUCGUUGGCCGUGGGUCCCUAAGCAAGCAACGUGUCCUCUCUGAACCUCAGUUUCCGCACCUGUAAGGUGGGAACAGGAUUCUGACACAGGGUCCCGCAGCCCAGGCCGCACCUCUCCCCACUCCAGGAAGCCUUUCCUGGGGACCCCAUCAGCAUCAGACCCUUCUCCCGUAUGCCGCUGGGUUCCUGUCCCCACCGCGCUGUGGCUGCCCAGGCACAGCAGCUCCUCCUUCCUGCGGCAGACCCCAUCCCCCCUCCUUCCAGAAGCAGCCACUGCGGGACCCACAGCAGACCCGGCCGUCCACGACCGGCCAUUCGCCACGUCCAGUCACAUCCUGGGGAGCUGUUUCUGCAGAGAUGGUCCAUGGCGCGGGUGGUCUGUGUCGCGGUGCCUGAGUGAGCAGAUGUGCGGCUCAGAGAGAGAGAUGCCCUGGGCUCCCCACCUCCUGGCUGUUCCUCAUGCUUCUCCCUCCAUCUGCACAUGGACUAUGAUGCUGGAGAGACAGGUGAGUGGGACCCAGUGGCGGCCCUCGUGGGGUCUGCAGCCAGUGGAGGAAAGAUGCACUGAAUGAACUACUGCCCGCAUCAUUAAUUCAUCACACCCAGGGCAAGUGCCACCCAGGAGAGGGCUUUGAUGCUCUAGAAGAGACAACAUAAUAUAGACUUGCCCUGCCCCGAGGAGGCGAGGAAGAGCCACGGGACCAGGAGGGCCAUCUAGGCAGAGAGGAGGGCACGUAUAAAGGCCCUGUGGUGGGUGGGAGCCUGGUGCACUCUGGGAGACUGAGAGAAGGCUCUAAAUGCUGGAAAGCAGAGGGAACAGUGUGGGGAAGCCAGUGACUGAAGGAAGCUGGGGAAACAGGAGGGACGAGGCUGAGGGUGCACUGGGCUCCUGCCACCUUGGUCCCACAGCCAGGUGAGGACUCACCUGCCUCUCAACCAGACAGAUGAGAGGCCGCCCUGACUCUUUCACUUGUAACCAUGGAAGGAGGAGGUGUUCAAUGUCACCUGCUAGAGGUCGGCUUCUUCCCGCUGACCCCAGGGCGGAGCACGCUGUCCACACACAGUAGGUGCCCCGGGCCGUUUCUGACAUAUGAGGGGCGCAGGGCAAGAGCAUAGAUGGAGCCCCACCUUCCCAAAUAUUUAAAAUGAUAAACUUAAAAGUUCUCAUCAUCAGAAAAAGUAAGUUUAUUUUGUAACUAUAUAUGGUGACAGAUGCUCACUAGAUUUAUUGUGGUAAUCAUUUCACAAUAUAUGCAAAUAUCAG
rnacentral:lncRNA from 1 species